rnacentral:rRNA from 1 species
UACGGAGGGGGUUAGCGUUGUUCGGAAUUACUGGGCGUAAAGCGCGCGUAGGCGGACCAGAAAGUUGGGGGUGAAAUCCCGGGGCUCAACCCCGGAACGGCCUCCAAAACUCCUGGUCUUGAGUUCGAGAGAGGUGAGUGGAAUUCCGAGUGUAGAGGUGAAAUUCGUAGAUAUCCGGAGGAACACCAGUGGCGAAGGCGGCUCACUGGCUCGAUACUGACGCUGAGGUGCGAAAGUGUGGGGAGCAAACAGG